CAGGAAAGGAGAACUACUUGGAUUCCUUGAGUGUCUGAAGUUCAUCAUGCCACAUUUCCCAGUGUAAAGAAGUUCAGAACUAAAUGGAAUGAUUUAAAUUCUUGACUUAAGGAGACCAGCAGCUUUGAUAAUGCUGCCAAAUUAUCCUCACAGUAUCAGAAAGAAAAAAUUGACCUAAAGACUUGCGCUGUAAGAAUUUUUUUUUGAGGAGGUGUCUCCAUGCUUGGCAUGAAAACCAGGGGAGGAAAAUACAAGAUGCCCUACUGUGUACAGUGAAGUGGGGUUUUGGAAGAUGUGCUCCAGAGAACGGCGUCUGGGCCCCCACAAUCUCCCCAUGUUGCACAGACUCUCUCUGACUCCUGUGAUCUGGCCCUGGCUGUCCUGGAAUACUACCCUCUACUCCAACAGAAUUUUUAAUUGUUCCACAGUGUAUUUAUGUACAUUGUUAUCUGAGCCUCUGAGUAAAGCAAAACAGGCAUGAUUUUCUCUGUUUUACAGAUCCAAUAGUCAAGACCACAAAGAGGGGAAUGACUUCUCAAGGUGACUUAGAAAAUAGCAACAAACAGCAGUGGAAUUGGAGCUAGCAUCCAGAUCUCCUGAAUCCUUGUUCAUUAUUCCCCAUGACACUCAGUUCUUGCUUUGUAAACAACUAUGGAGAUUGUAGAAGCUCAUAUGAAAAGGGGGUGCAAUGAACAAGAAGUGUAGAUUAAAGAAGUGUGGAACCUUGAGUGUCAAUUGAUACAGUGCAAGCCAUGUGGCUGCCUGCCUACUAACAUGCAGUGGUAAGAAGGGCCUGCAGAUCCACUGGCAGGGGGCAGGUUCAGAGUCACACCCAAGAGAGAUCUAUAGAUGAGGGCAAUGGGCCAGAUCUAACAAGAUGAAAUGAGAAGGGAUAAAUGCAAAAUCUCACAUUUUGAUCUGAGAGAUAAUUGCACAAGGACAAGAUGGGGAGAUAUUGCUUAGGAGAGUCUUAUCCUUUUAUUCAAGUUAUUUUAAAAAGUAUUUGUUGGGCACUAAUUAUGUCUAUACAAUGGUUUGGCACUGAGCUUACAGCAGUGAAUAAGAUUAAGACAAAUAAGGCCCCCUACCCUUAUGGAGUUCAAAUUCCAGCGAGGGAGACAGCCAAUACACAAAUACUCAAAUGAUUUCAUAAAAGGAUCAGUGUUGAAAAUAACUCAGGAUCAUGGACAUUGACUGUUAAGAGGAGGAAAAUAUUAGAAGGGUGGUCAGAGAAGGCCUCUCAAAGGAUGGGACAUUUUCAAACUGUUACUUGAAGGAUAAGAAGAAACUGAGAUUGAGAGGACCAUCGGGCAGAGUUCCAAGGAAAGGGAGAACAAGUGAACAGUGCUUGAGGUAGGCAUGAUUUCAGAAUGUUUGAGGAACAGAAGGGAAGCCAUCAUGGUUCAAAAUUAGUGAACAAGGAAGGACAUAGGAGCUGAUGUUGAAGAGGCUGCAGGGGCCCCCAACAUCACCUAGAUCAUUUAGGCUGAGAAGGCCAUUAUAAAGAUGCCAGAGUGCUAGGCACCCUCCCCAAAUCUCUUCUCUUUUUUGUCCUUAGAAAAAGGUUCUUAUCUGGAUAGCUAACCAGAGACUAAAUUUCCCAGCCUUCCUUAUUGUGAGUUGUGGCCAUGUGACUAGAGUUAUCACCAGAGCAAUGUGAACAGAAGAGAUACGUGCAACACCCACCUUACUUGACUGAAGGGAAAUUACUUGCCUUUAACUUCCUUCCCUUGAGUGACCAACCAUGCAAAUAAGGACAAUGUACUAGCCUUAGGCAUGGUGGAGCAACAAGAUGGGAGGAACCUGGCUCCCAAAUGACCUCAUGGAGAACUGGCCUGCCUGGCUGGACUAAGUGAAAGAGAAAUACACUUCUCUCUUAUUUAAGCCACUGCAUUUUGAGGUCUUUAUUAUAGUGAUAUAGUCUUUACUGUAAUUAAAUCAAUGAGAAAUGUGGACUUUUUUCUAAGUUGGAAACCAUUAGAAAGUUUCAAACAGAUGAAUGAUGUGGCCUAUGUUUGAAAAAGACCAUUCUGACUUCUGUAUGGAGAACAGAUUACAGGAAGACGAGAGUGGAAGAAGUGAGAACAGUUGGAGGGCGAAUGCAGAUUUUGUGUGGGGGACAAUGGAAUAAGACGAUGGCAGUGGAGAAGGAUAUACAGGAUAGAUUAUGAAUGUAUUUUGGAGGUAGAGAAAAUAGGCUUGUUGAUUUAUUCAAUUUUGGAGACAGUGAAGGAAAAGGAAAAAAAAAUGAUUCCUAGGUCUUUGACUUGAAUAACUAAUGAAACAGCAGUGGAAUUUCUUGAGGUGGACAAAACUGAAGUGCAGGGUAGGAUAGGAUGCUUUGACUGCAAAACAAACAAAACUCAGAAAACUUGACAUAAACUGGCAAAAACAAUAAGGACAUUUAUUAGCCUACAAAAUGUAGAAUGGGCUACAAUAAUUGGUUGUUCCAAAAGUUUAAAUAUGUUGCCAAUAUCUUUUUAACUCUACUCUUUGCCAUUCAAGUUUAAGCUUCAUUCUAAUGCUGGUUCCUCUUGUGGUCGGUGACUGAGACAAUGUGUUUCCUCACUCACCUCCAACAAGGAAGAGAGAAGUCAUUUCUCUAAUUAUAUAAUACAAGUCUUUGUAGCCUGAACUUUCUGACUUAGCUUGUCAUGUUCUGAUUGGCUUAGAUGAAUAAGGAAUAGGCUUGGAGUUACUGCCCUCUGAUUGGCUUAGAUGAAUAAGGAAUAGGCCUGGAGUUACUGCUCUCUGAGUCAUAGCUGUUGCAUAGAGGGCAGUAUAUGACACCCAGGCAAAUUCAGGUUCUGUUGGGAAGGACAGGAAGAAGGGUUGAUUCAGAGUUUAUGUUAUGCACUUUAGCUUUUUAUUUCUUCUUCCUAAUCUGUAAAGUGGGGAGAGAGACAUGUGCAGCCUUGGCAGACAGAGGAGGUCCAGGAUCUCACAGAAAAAGAGAGACUU
rnacentral:lncRNA from 1 species